CUGCCCAGCAGAACGACCCGCGAACCAGUUAGAACCACCGGCCGCGGGAGGGGGGGGACGCUCCUAGCGUGCGCCCCCGCCUCCCGCCCCCCGCCUCGGGGAGGGGGACUCGUCCCUCUCCCCGCGGCGGAACAACGAACCCCCGGCGCGGACCGCGCCAAGGAAAUCCAACGGGAAAGCGCGCUCCCGCGGCCCCGGACACGGGGCGCCGCGGGACGCCGCGCCUUCUAUUACUCGUAUCCAAAACGACUCUCGGCAACGGAUAUCUCGGCUCUCGCAUCGAUGAAGAACGUAGCGAAAUGCGAUACUUGGUGUGAAUUGCAGAAUCCCGUGAACCAUCGAGUCUUUGAACGCAAGUUGCGCCCCAAGCCAUCAGGCCGAGGGCACGUCUGCCUGGGUGUCACGCAUCGCUGCCCCACCCCGCUGCACCCCCCCGACCUACGUGGGGGGCACGGCGGUGCGGGCGGACAUUGGCCUCCCGUGCGCUCCCCGCUCGCGGUUGGCCCAAAUCCGAGUCCUCGGCGACCGGAGCCGCGGCGUUCGGUGGUGAAACAAAAGCCUCUCGAGCUCCCGCCGCGCGCGCCCGGUCACCCCUGUGGGGACUCCGCGGCCCAGACGCUCCGCGCCAGCGGCGCUCGC
rnacentral:misc_RNA from 1 species